rnacentral:rRNA from 1 species
UACAGAGGUCUCAAGCGUUGUCCGGAAUCAUUGGGCGUAAAGCGCGUGUAGGCGGCUCGAUAAGUCUGCUGUGAAAGUCCAAGGCUCAACCUUGGGAUGCCGGUGGAUACUGUCGAGCUCGAGUCCGGAAGAGGAGUGUGGAAUUCCUGGUGUAGCGGUGAAAUGCGCAGAUAUCAGGAGGAACACCAAUGGCGAAGGCAGCACUCUGGGACGUGACUGACGCUGAGACGCGAAAGCGUGGGGAGCAAACAGG